UAAUUUGAAAUUAAAUAUUAUUGCUUAUUGUGUUUUGAACAUAAUUUAUGAUAAAUAUAAAUAUUUGUUGGUAAAGAGUCAAACUACCGUGAAAAAAACUUCGAUUUUUUCAAUAGGCCAUUUUUAUAUUUUACCAUAUUUUACUUUGGCCAUUUCAAUACACAGAUAUUGGAACAUCGAGCAUGAUAUGGAUGAUCUAUAGGUUUUCUCUGCAUAUGUCACAAGGAAA